CCAUUCUCAAGGAGCUUUCAAAUGAAAGCUAGCAUUAGGAAUGCUGAAAGCCCAAGGCAGGUGGGGACCUGCUUUGAGCUUUCAGCAUUUUCGGAAUGCUACUUCCAUGAAUUAAUGAAAUUUGGUCAGUUACCCUUUUUGCCCUCAAAAUCUUUUGAAAAGCCCAAUUUUGCCCCUUUUAUAAAAUAAGACCCUUACCUCUCUAGAACCUCCACCUCUCAUUCCCUCGCUCGACGCUCGACUGUGCUUGAGUUGCGAGAGCCUCCACUCCUGCUCAUUUCUCUUGCUCGAUUGCCGUUCUUUCGCUUCCUUGGUUUCGCACAAGAAUCCAUCUCUUCACUUAGUUCCUCACCCAUUGCUCGCUCUCUCACUCGCCUUCAAAUCGCAUCUCUCCGCAGCAAUCGAAGAUAAAGGAAGCAGUUGGUGUACUGAAGCCCCACUUGACUAGUUCGAUUAGCGCCGUUGAUGCAAUUCAAGAGUUGGAAAGCAAUGGCAACAAUGGGCUUCACUGUAGUGUGGGUCGGAGGCUCAAGUUUUGUCAUGUCAAGCUGAGGGAGUAGUUGCCUGGCCAUAGUAGUUGCCGGGCCGUAGACUCUUCUAUGAGAUUUCAGAAUAGAUGGGAGAAUCAUUCUAGCUGUACAAUUUUUGUUUCUUGACCCUUGAUGUAAUCAGUUCAUGUUAAUAAAUGAAAUGUUAUUUUGCUGAAGAAUCAAUAUCUAUUUCCAGUUGAUGAGUGAUGUAUGCUGUGUAACUUUGAGUCAAUUUUAACGAUGCAUAAAUGCACCUUGAGAUCGAUGUGA